rnacentral:rRNA from 1 species
GACGAACGCUGGCGGCGUGCCUAAUACAUGCCAGUCGAACGAGGGCGACCGGUGCUUGCACUGGUCAAUCUAGUGGCGAACGGGUGAGUAACACGUGGGUAACCUGCCCAUCAGAGGGGGAUAACAUCCGGAAACGGAUGCUAAAACCGCAUAGGUCUUCGAACCGCAUGGUUUGAAGAGGAAAAGAGGCGCAAGCUUCUGCUGAUGGAUGGACCCGCGGUGCAUUAGCUAGUUGGUGAGGUAACGGCUCACCAAGGCCGUGAUGCAUAGCCGACCUGAGAGGGUGAUCGGCCACAUUGGGACUGAGACACGGCCCAAACUCCUACGGGAGGCAGCAGUAGGGAAUCUUCCGCAAUGGACGCAGGUCUGACGGAGCAACGCCGCGUGAGUGAAGAAGGUUUUCGGAUCGUAAAACUCUGUUGUUAGAGAAGAACAAGUGCUAGAGUAACUGUUAGCGCCUUGACGGUAGCUAACCAGAAAGCCACGGCUAACUCCGUG